rnacentral:rRNA from 1 species
GCAGUAGCCGCGGUAAUACGUAGGGUGCGAGCGUUAAUCGGAAUUACUGGGCGUAAAGCGUGCGCAGGCGGCCUAUCCAGUCUGUCUUAAAAGUUCGGGGCUCAACCCCGUGAUGGGAUGGAAACUAGUAGGCUAGAGUAUCGGAGAGGAAAGCGGAAUCCCUAGUGUAGCGGUGAAAUGCGUAGAUAUUAGGAAGAACACCAGUGGCGAAGGCGGCUUUCUGGACGAAAACUGACGCUGAGGCGCGAAAGCCAGGGGAGCGAACGGGAUUAGAUACCCGAGUAGUCCCUGUCUCUUAUACA